rnacentral:rRNA from 1 species
UACGGAGGGUGCAAGCGUUAAUCGGAAUUACUGGGCGUAAAGGGUGCGUAGGCUGGAAGAUAAGUCAGAUGUGAAAUUCCAAAGCUCGACUUUGGAGCUGCAUCUGAAACUAUUUUUCUUGAGGAAUGGCGGAGAAAACGGAAUUCCACGUGUAGCGGUGAAAUGCGUAGAUAUGUGGAAGAACAUCUGUGGCGAAAGCGGUUUUCUAGCUUAAUCCUGACGCUGAGGCACGAAAGCAAGGGGAGCAAACAGG